AUACUUACCUGGCAGGGGGGUUGCAGUGAUCACAAAGGUGGUUUUCCCAGGGUGAGGCUUAUGCAUUGCACUCCAGAUCUGCUGACUCCUGCGAUUUCCCCAAACUUGGGAAACUCAACCACAUGAUUUGUGAUAGUGGGUGCCUGUGUUCACACGUUCUCUCC